rnacentral:rRNA from 1 species
GAGGAAUSAGCAUCGGCUAACUCCGUGCCAGCAGCCGCGGUAAUACGGGGGAUGCARGCGUUAUCCGGAAUCAUUGGGCGUAAAGCGCCUGUAGGUUGUUUAAUAAGUCUGUUGUUAAAGACUAGGGCUUAACCCUAGAAAAGCAAUGGAAACUACUAGACUAGAGUAUGGCAGGGGUAGAGGGAAUUUCUAGUGUAGCGGUGAAAUGCGUAGAUAUUAGAAAGAACACCGGUGGCGAAAGCGCUCUACUGGACCAUUACUGACACUCAGAGGCGAAAGCUAGGGUAGCAAAAGGGAUUAGAUACCCCUGUAGUCCUAGCCGUAAACGAUGGAUACUAGAUGUUGUGCAUAAAGUACAGUAUCAUAGCUAACGCGUUAAGUAUCCCGCCUGGGGAGUACGCUCGCAAGGGUGAAACUCAAAGGAAUUGACGGGGGCCCGCACAAGCGGUGGAGCAUGUGGUUUAAUUCGAUGCAACGCGAAGAACCUUACCAGGGCUUGACAUACUACAGAUUCUUUUGAGAAAAAGAAGUGCCUUCGGGAAUGUAGAUACAGGUGGUGCAUGGCUGUCGUCAGCUCGUGUCGUGAGAUGUUGGGUUAAGUCCCGCAACGAGCGCAACCCUUAUUUUUAGUUACUAAUUCGUUAGGUUCUCUAGAAAGACUGCCGGUGACAAACCGGAGGAAGGUGAGGAUGACGUCAAGUCAGCAUGCCCCUUAUGUCCUGGGCUACACACGUGCUACAAUGGUUAAGACAAAGAGUCGCGAGCUCGCGAGAGUCAGCUAAUCUCAUAAACUUAGCCUAAGUUCAGAUUGUAGGCUGCAACUCGCCUACAUGAAG